UGUGAAAGUUCAGCAUGAUGGUAUCAAAGAGAUCAUAUUAGAGGAUUUGAAGAAUGCAAAAUCAUUGAUCGAAUGGAUUGCAUGGGCAGAACCUCAAUAUGACUUCAACCCAAUGAUUGAUGAAUGGUGCAAGGAGGCACCCAAGGAACUUGAUUUCAAUCAUGAAGCAGAGAACACUAGGACCGUCUCGAAGAAUCUUAGUUGGAAAACUGAAGGUGGGAGUGGCAGUGUUUCCAGUGAUGUUGAUGUACUGAUACC